rnacentral:rRNA from 1 species
AGCGAACGCUGGCGGCAGGCCUAAAACAUGCAAGUCGAACGCCCUAGCAAUAGGGAGUGGCAGACGGGUGAGUAACACGUGGGAACGUGCCUUUUGGUUCGGAACAACACAGGGAAACUUGUGCUAAUACCGGAUAAGCCCUUACGGGGAAAGAUUUAUCGCCAAAAGAUCGGCCCGCGUCUGAUUAGCUAGUUGGUGGGGUAACGGCCCACCAAGGCUACGAUCAGUAGCUGGUCUGAGAGGAUGAUCAGCCACACUGGGACUGAGACACGGCCCAGACUCCUACGGGAGGCAGCAGUUAGGAAUCUUGGACAAUGGGCGCAAGCCUGAUCCAGCCAUGCCGCGUGAGUGAUGAAGGCCUUAGGGUUGUAAAGCUCUUUCAGCGGGGAAGAUAAUGACGGUACCCGCAGAAGAAGCCCCGGCUAACUUCAUGCCAGCCGCCGCGGUAA